AUGUUUGUUUAGAAAAUGUAUAAAAAAAUUGGAUCUUUCUCUGACUACUCGCAUUUUAAGAAACCCACAAUUAAUGCACAUUGUGGCUAUGCAUUUCCAAAGUAUCUUUUUUUGAUAAUGACUUUCUGUAUCAUCUUUUUUUUGGGCUACAAUUUUUAUCAAUAUUAUUCAGUGCUAAUUUGGAAAGGAACUUUGUUAUUUCAAGCUUGUAAUAAAGACUCACCUGUUGUAUGGGUGUAUGCAGAAAAGACAACCCAUCUUCAACAUGUGAUCAAUAUUUUUGAGCAAACUGGUUAUGUUGCAAUAGCAGGAAUAACACCACCAAAAAAAUGGGAUGUAAUGUGGUCAUAUACUUUUCCUUUUUUAAAUAAUUUUAAUGACUUACUUCAAAAGCUUCAACCACAUCAAAAGGUUAAUCACAUGCCAGGUAUUGGUUACUUAACAUUAAAAGUUUACUUAGCUUCAUUAAAGAAACAAUGGAUUCCUGAAGCUUUUGUAUUACCUGAAGAUAAAGACCAAUUUGAGUUGAGGGUUCAAAACUUUCCAAAUAAGUCUUGGGUACAAAAAAGCAAUAAUCAUAGAGGUAUCAAAAUCAUUCAAACAAAAGAUGUGGAUUCCCAAUCAACAAACACCUUUGUUCAAGAAUUUGUAGACCAACCACUUCUUGUUGAUGGAAAAAAGUUCGAUAUUGGUGUUUAUGUUGUAAUAACAUCAGUUGAACCACUACUUGCAUAUGCCUAUAAAUCUGAAAUUCUUGUCAGAUUUUGUAAGCAUGAUUAUUAUCCUUUUAAUCCUGAAGAUACUGAAAGUUAUGUUGUUGGAGAUGACUACAUACCAAUCUCAGAAAUGCCUUCAUUACAAUCAUAUUACAACCAAUUUAAAAUGACAGUGCAUGACUCUCUGUUUACCUAUCUCAGCAGUAUUGGUUAUAAUUCACAAAGAAUUUGGUAUGAAAUCAUAAGAUGUAUAGCUGAGGUAUUGAUAGAAAAACAAGUUACUAUGCAGAAAUCUUUUACAGGGUUUUUACACAAGCAAAACUUUUUCGAACUAGUGAGAAUGGAUUUUAUUAUUGAUCAACUAGCUAAUGUUUGGCUAAUGGAGAUAAAUAUGUCUCCCAACUUAUCAUCAGAACUUCACAAACUUAAUGCUCUUAUGUAUGAACAAGUUAUAUACAAUACCUUAUCACUAGUAGGUGUUGCUUCACAUUUAAAAAGUCAAUUUAGUGAGUUAGAUAUAGCAUCAAGUGACAGAGAUAUCAUGUUUGCAACUGACCAAUGCGCAUCUGAAGAAUGUCACAGUAUGUGUCUCAAUAAGAUAUUUUCAUUUCCAUCUUAGCUUCUAUGCCAAGUAUUUUCACCUUUUGACAGGUGGUGCAGCCAUACUUUUUUUGUUAAAAACAGACUCACUCCUAUUUGGAACAAAACUCUGUGUUUUGGUCUAAUGUCCAGCAACUCGGGCAUUAGUAAUUGGUGUAACUGUCUGCUAAAGUGUCGUUUAUGUCAUCAUUGUUUAUCUGAAGACAUGCGAAUAUAUCUGAAAAAGGCAUUUCGUGAACACAAUAACAAAGGUAGUUUCACACGUGUCUGGCCAACGGCUUUGAAUGAAAGCAUGGUUCAAAAUGAGUUACAAUUAAGCGAAUCAAAUCAAAUCUUGUUUCAUUGGUUCAAA
rnacentral:misc_RNA from 1 species